GCGACGGCGACAGGGACCCCACCUGCUGGACGCCCCCCGGCUCCUCGGGAAGGAGCUCGGCGUUUUCUUGGCUCCGGAGCCCGGGAAGAUGGCACGUUUCCUGACAAAGAGCCGGGCACGGCGUGGACGGCGGGCCGGAGGCGGGUCCUUGGGACCCUGGCGCGGAGAGCCCUCUGGCGAAGGCCUUUCCGGAAACGAGGGUCCGUUUAAGGACGCGGGGCGUUCACGCAGCCCCCCCUUCAUUGUCUCAGACCACCGAGCCUCCCUGCACCAGACCCUGGGAGCGGCUGGCCCAGACCGCCCGGCCAGGCCCGAGCCGGUGGCCCCGCGGCUGUGCGAGUUCGUUUGCGGCGCUGGGGUUGUGGGUUUGCAUCUCCCGCAGCCUGAUUCAGAAUCACCAAGACGUGGAAGCAAUGCAAAUGUCCACCGACCGAGGAAGGGAUAAACAUCGGCCGUCCGGCCCCCCCAUGGAGUGUGGUUCAGCCACAGAGAGGUCCGAUGUCCAUGCCGUACGGAUGGACUCUGAAGACACGCUAAGUGAAAGAAGCCAGUCUCAAAAGACCACAGAGGCACGCUUCCAUGUCUGAAAUGCCCACGCUAGACCUGUCCACAGACGGAAAGCGAUGAGCUGGGGCUGGCGGGGAGAGUGGGGGUGAUCGCUGUUGGUAUGAGGUUUCUUUGGGGAUGACUGAAAAUGUUCUAAAAUUCAACAAGAGUGGCGGUUGCACAAAAAUGUAGGUAUUCUCAAAACCAUUGAUACUUUCAAGGGGUGCAUGCUACAGUCUGUGAAUUACAUCUCAAUAAAGCUGUGUA